UCACCUAGAGCAUGCUGGGAAUUGUAGUCCUGUGGGGCUUAUUCCUUAUUCAGGCCUUUAGCUGUAUAAUCUGGUGCCUUUGGGACAGGUCUGGGCCUUCCAGGUGUUUUGGACUACAACUCCCACCAUUCCUCACAGCCUCAGGCCCUUUCCUUUUGCCCCUCAGCCGCUUAAGCGGCUGAGGGGCAAAAGGAAGGGGCCUGAGGCUGUGAGGAAUGGUGGGAGUUGUAGUCCAAAACACCUGAAGGGCCCAAGUUUGCUCAUGCCUGGUAAAAGCGAAUAGAUAACAUGCUUCAGAUUGUUGUUUUGAGAUGAGAUGCUCACACAUUGCCACCAAGAAACAACAUGGGUCUUUGAGGCCAAAGGAAGUGUAUCCCCACAUGACCUCUUGAAACUUGGCAAGAAAUGGUUUUAAAGUGACUCAAUUAGGGUUGUGCAUCAGAUUAUAGGGAAUUUUUUUAUAGACUCAAGUAAGUAUCUAGAUGGAGAAUGGUGGUUUGCACAUCUCUGCAUUGCAUCAGGAAAUUAUAGGUUAGGAUUGCAAUUGUGGUGGCAGGUAAAAAGACAGCUUGCCAACCAAAGCAUCCAAAAGUUUUGACAAACACACCAAUCUGGGCAUGAAAAGUUGUGCAAACAAUCUUUUAAAACAUUUUAAAAGGUUGCUUUUGUAUUUGGGGUUUUUUUUCUAAAAAGAAAUCCCCAUAUGUCAAGUUUCCGCCCUGGGCAAAUGUUUCUGCUGACAGUCUCUUGCUAAAGGGAUUGUACAAUGGAAGCGCUGACAGACCUUUAAUUAGGGCCUCCUAAACAGAUGAGGCCACAAAGCAAUUUACAGUUGUAUGACUUCAUUUGUUUUGGAGAGAACUUGCAGGGUUUCUGCAGCUCAACUUGACUCACUUGUUUUCUCGUCUACUGUUACAGCAAAAAAAUAAUAAUGAAAAACCAGUAUUUAUUUUUCAUUCAUUACAUAUCAGCUAACAAAACCUUUGACAAAGAAGUUCCUUUUUUUACAAAUUGUUUCUCCUCAUCAUCAUUUGUCUAAGCUGACAGGAUUUUAGCAGCAUUGGCAUUGGAAAGAUUGUGAAGGAAGGGAGAAAGACAAAACUUUCAGUGUUUUAACAUGUGAUUUUAUAGAUGUAUUUGGCUGUGUUGUGCCCUGCCUCAAACCAAAAGGAAAGGCGGAUAUAAGAAUCACACUCCAUUCUUUCAAUGUUAUUUUUGCCUCUCAUGCUAUGUUUGCUUUGUUAAUUGAAAUAAACCUAUAUUUGUUUACAUGGGCUUCUUCCAAAAUAUUUUUCAGCAUUAAUUACAAUACAAGUUGAUCAUUUGAAUGGCAUUGCAGAAUGCAAAGGAGCCGUCAACAGUCCUGCUCUUCUUGGCAGCCUCACCUCAGGUGAAUGAGGUAGCGUAGUAGCCUUUCUUCCACGUGUCGCGUGUUCUCUUUAUUGAUGCUUCUCUUGGUUUCUCGUUUCACAGGGACAGAAAAGGUUCUUUGCCGCAGGAAUGUCUGGUGAUUGGCAGGCAUCUCUCGCAGGUCGUAAAUCACCACAAACAUCUUCACCACAGUCUUGUUAGGGUUGAAUAAGGUCUGAAAAGGUGCAAAGAUGAUGCCAGUGAGCAACUGCAAAUAUUAAACAUCUAAGUGUUUUCAGUGGGUUGUAUUCAACAGUGUCCGCUCUGCAACAGAAAACUGGUUCAAUGGAAGUCCGAAUGGAGAGAGGCAGAGUUUUCUUUGACUUCCUAUUCCCCUUGCAAUUCUUGGACCAUUGUUCAAGCUGGUCUCAAAACUCCCACAAAACUCUUCAUACUGGUGAUGUGGGGAAGGAUACUGGGUUUUCCUGUUCCUUUGCAGAAAGUCUCAUUGGAUCAAAUAGCUUUCUAUCAACAGGAGGACACUGCUGGAUACAUCUCUGUUUCCCACAAAUUGGUUUUCUCUGGCCAGGACGUUUAUUAUACUGAGCAACCAAUAUAGUGUUCUUUAUAUCAACCAAAUGAAUGGAGAUCAAUAUCAGUAAUCCAUACAACCAGCCACCAUUCCAUGCAGCCAAUUCCAAGAACAGAAUGGUUUUAUUUUAGAUAUACUGCUGCUGCUGAUGAUGAUGAUUACUGUUAUAUUAUUAUUAUUAUUAUUAUUAUUAUUAUUAUUAUUAUUAUUAUUAUUAUUAUGGUGUUUUAAUAAUAAGUGAUUUAAAUUAAUUUUAUGGUGGAUUAUGUUCUCUGAAUAUAAUUUUUGACAAAUUAAUCAUAA